UAAAGAGUUCUAUAACUCCCAAACCCAUGUGAACAUACCUAACGUUGCCUCGGCAGGUCGCACCUACCUUGUAGCACCCUACCCUGUAGGGCCUACCCGGGAGGUGCGGGUAAGCCUGCCGGCGGCCCACCAAACUCUGUUUGAUAUUGAAUUCUGAACCUAUAACUAAAUAAGUUAAAACUUUCAACAACGGAUCUCUUGGUUCUGGCAUCGAUGAAGAACGCAGCGAAAUGCGAUAAGUAAUGUGAAUUGCAGAAUUCAGUGAAUCAUCGAAUCUUUGAACGCAUAUUGCGCCCAUUAGUAUUCUAGUGGGCAGGACCGUUCGAGCGUCAUUUCAACCCUUAAGCCUUCGUUGCUUAGUGUUGGGAGCCUACGGCAACGUAGCUCCUCAAAGUUAGUGGCGGAGUUGGUUCACACUCUAGACGUAGUAAUUUUUUAUCUCGCCUAUUAGUUGGACUAAUCCCCUGCCGUAAAACCCCCAAUUUAUCAAGGUUGACCUCGAAUCGGUUCAGACAAACUCGCUAAAUUGAAGCAUCUUAGUCA
rnacentral:rRNA from 1 species